UACAGAGGGUGCAAGCGUUGUUCGGAAUUAUUGGGCGUAAAGCGCGUGUAGGCGGCUUUGCAAGUCGGGUGUGAAAGCCCUCGGCUCAACCGAGGAAGUGCGCCCGAAACUGCAGAGCUUGAGUACCGGAGAGGAUGGCGGAAUUCCCCAAGUAGAGGUGAAAUUCGUAGAUAUGGGGAGGAACACCGGUGGCGAAGGCGGCUCACUGGGGGUUUUCUGACGCUGAGGAACGAAAGCCAGGGUAGCGAACGGG
rnacentral:rRNA from 1 species